GACGAACGCUGGCGGCGUGCUUAACACAUGCAAGUCGAACGAAGAGCGAUGGAAGCUUGCUUCUAUCAAUCUUAGUGGCGAACGGGUGAGUAACGCGUAAUCAACCUGCCCUUCAGAGGGGGACAACAGUUGGAAACGACUGCUAAUACCGCAUACGAUCUAAUCUCGGCAUCGAGGAUAGAUGAAAGGUGGCCUCUACAUGUAAGCUAUCACUGAAGGAGGGGAUUGCGUCUGAUUAGCUAGUUGGAGGGGUAACGGCCCACCAAGGCGAUGAUCAGUAGCCGGUCUGAGAGGAUGAACGGCCACAUUGGGACUGAGACACGGCCCAGACGCCUACGGGAAGCAGCAGUGGGGAAACGUCCGCAAUGGACGAAAGCCUGACGGGGCAACGCCGCGUGAGGGAUGACGGCCGUCGGGUUGUAAAGCUCUGUUAAUCGGGACGAAAGGCCUUCUUGCGAAUAGUGAGAAGGAUUGACGGUACCGGAAUAGAAAGCCACGGCUAACUACGUG
rnacentral:rRNA from 1 species